rnacentral:piRNA from 1 species
UGAAAUGAAAUAAACUCAAGCACUCAUUCA